rnacentral:rRNA from 1 species
AUGAACGCUGGCGGCGUGCCUAAUACAUGCAAGUCGCGCGAACAGACGAGGAGCUUGCUCCUCUGACGUUAGCGGCGGACGGGUGAGUAACACGUGGAUAACCUACCUAUAAGACUGGGAUAACUUCGGGAAACCGGAGCUAAUACCGGAUAAUAUACUGAACCGCAUGGUUCAAUAGUGAAAGACGGUUUUGCUGUCACUUAUAGAUGGAUCCGCGCCGCAUUAGCUAGUUGGUAAGGUAACGGCUUACCAAGGCGACGAUGCGUAGCCGACCUGAGAGGGUGAUCGGCCACACUGGAACUGAGACACGGUCCAGACUCCUACGGGAGGCAGCAGUAGGGAAUCUUCCGCAAUGGGCGAAAGCCUGACGGAGCAACGCCGCGUGAGUGAUGAAGGUCUUCGGAUCGUAAAACUCUGUUAUUAGGGAAGAACAAAUGUGUAAGUAACUAUGCACGUCUUGACGGUACCUAAUCAGAAAGCCACGGCUAACUACGUG